GGUUGUUUGGCUGAGUCUGGUUUAAGGCGGCGGCUUGCUAGGCCGUUGACUCUCAUGGGUCCGGGGGUUCGAAUCCCUCAACAACCG
rnacentral:tRNA from 1 species